rnacentral:sRNA from 1 species
UUUUGCGUUGUCUGGGCUCGGCGGCAGCCGGGCUCGGACUGGACGUGCCACUAUGGGGUCGUCCAAGAAGCAUCGCGGAGAGAAGGAGGCGGCCGGGACGACGGCGGCGGCCGGCACCGGGGGUGCCACCGAGCAGCCGCCGCGGCACCGGGAACACAAAAAACACAAGCACCGGAGUGGCGGCAGUGGCGGUAGCGGUGGCGAACGACGGAAGCGGAGCCGGGAACGUGGGGGCGAGCGCGGGAGCGGGCGGCGCGGGGCCGAAGCUGAGGCCCGGAGCAGCACGCACGGGCGGGAGCGCAGCCAGGCAGAGCCCUCCGAGCGGCGCGUGAAGCGGGAGAAGCGCGAUGACGGCUACGAGGCCGCUGGAGCCAACGAUGCUGGCUUCUUGGCCCUGUGUUCAGCUCCUGAGCCAUGCUUCUUCUUGUUCCAGCUGCCAGCUCCAAAACUAGCUCAGGCGAUGCCUCCUCACUCAGCAUCGAGGAGACUAACAAACUCCGGGCAAAGUUGGGGCUGAAACCCUUGGAGGUUAAUGCCAUCAAGAAGGAGGCGGGCACCAAGGAGGAGCCCGUGACAGCUGAUGUC